rnacentral:rRNA from 1 species
UACAGAGGGGGCAAGCGUUGUUCGGAAUUACUGGGCGUAAAGGGCGCGUAGGCGGCCUGUUAAGUCGAACGUGAAAUCCCCGGGCUCAACCCGGGAACUGCGUCCGAUACUGGCAGGCUUGAAUUCGGGAGAGGGAUGCGGAAUUCCAGGUGUAGCGGUGAAAUGCGUAGAUAUCUGGAGGAACACCGGUGGCGAAGGCGGCAUCCUGGACCGAGAUUGACGCUGAGGAGCGAAAGCCAGGGGAGCAAACGGG